GCAUUGGUGGUUCAGUGGUAGAAUUCUCACCUGCCCCAUGGGAGACUCUGGUUCAAUUCCCGACCAAUGGA
rnacentral:tRNA from 1 species